UCGCGGGGUGGAGCAGUCUGGUAGCUCGUCGGGCUCAUAACCCGAAGGUCGCAGGUUCAAAUCCUGCCUCCGCAAU
rnacentral:tRNA from 3 species